AAGUCUCCUUCCUAAGCUUGAAGCAUGUUCGUCGUAAUGUGGAGAUGCCAAAAAGGGAGGACUGAGGAACUGUUCACAUUCUUGGUUCCAACUUCCAAGGAAUGGAAGGUGCAGCUUUUGUAUUGUAAAGACUUGUUACUUACAGGAGUUAGUUCAAGAUUUGCAAUUUAUGUUGUACAAAUUGGAAGCUAAUGGAAAAGGCUGAGUUCAUCCUCUGAUAUAUAAUUAAAAGGGAACAAAACAUGUGAAAUGAUCAAAAUGUAUCUCAAUCUUCAGACCCGUUGUCGAAAUUUUCUUCACAAGAAUUGAAUGAAUCAAUUAUAUAAUUAGUUAAUCUUCAAUCUUCCCACAGCCUGGGUUUGAAUUUCUCGUUGGAUAUUGUAGACUGGUAAUGUGGAGAGGGGCAAGUCUUAUCCAAUUCCUACCCCACCAAAUAUCAACUUUCAUUGUUCCUCUCCUAUCCUCUGUCCGAACUACCAAGAUGCUUGAUUGCGACCUGUGAGCCAGGCCAGCCAUGGCGUGUGCAGUGAGCCAACUCGUUCACCCAACACAUGGGUCUUCCCACGUGCAAUUCUCUCCUGCUCUUACCGUUUCCCGCCCAUUCCUGUAACCACUGCUGGAGAUAAUAACUGCCUAGCCAGGCUAUUUUAAUUUUACAGCCACCAGAAUUUGGAAUCCUCUCUGGAAGAUGACGGCAUUGUGGCUGCUGACGGGGACAAUGAAGAUGGCAUCUCUUUGGGGACCUCGAAAUAGUGACUUUGACAGAUUUGUGGAAUUGCUCUUCCAGUGGGCAAACAGUUUGCCAAGGAGCUGCCACUCCCAGUGACAUUAAAGGUCAGUUAAAAUUUUUGUCCUAAAUCUCAGAAGCUAGAAAUUAAACUCAAAGUCACAGUAUUAGUCAGAUCCUAGAGCCCAGAUAUUAGCAGUGCAAGAACAAAGGGACUACAGCUGCAUUUUGUGCAAGUCAAAUCCAAUUUUAAUAUAUGGGUUUCGGCGGUAAGGUUAAAGUUAAAACUCCACUCGAAGAACCAAAAAAUAAAAAAUAAUCCCAUUUUAGUGCAUAGUAGCCUGCUUCUCAGGUCACGCUGUAAAUUAAGCGAUAGGAAACAGACAAUGAGCUCUAUCUCGGCGCUGUAAAUUCUUGUAAGACCAUAUAAGUUGUAUUGAAAUGAUAUUCUCUUCUCAGUGGCGUAUUUAUAUUAUCUUUUUCAUUGAAAAAUAAAUUUUGAAUGACGAAGUGUUCUGAUCCCCAAUCUUGUCGCAUAGACUUUUUUUUUUUUCUUGGUUUGAUGCCUUGAUAUUGGAUUCCUGUCGGAUUCGUUUAUUAUUGUUUCUCCCUUUUUCUUUACAUAACAGGGAUGUGAGACAGUACGUUGCCCACAAAUAGCAUUUACAUCCGUCCUUAUCUUGACUACAAUCAUUCCUUCACGGAAACACAAUAUGGCCCCACUCCUUGAGUAAUACGGACAAGCUGUAUUUCAUUUUCAUGUUGGCGAUAGAUUUCAUGUUGGUUGGCUAUAGAUUUCAUGUUGGCGGUAUUUUUACCUAAAUUUUACUGAAUCUGAAACUUAAAUUGUUCCCCUGUUCCUUUUUGCUUGUUCCCUCUCUGUGUACCAUAUAAAAGUUACUGUGGAAGAACUAAAUCCUGGAAUACUUGUUCUUUCUGGGAUUAAAAGAAGAAAUGGAAACGGGAGCAUAUUUAGGAGGAAGGAUGGGGGAUAAAGAAGAAUGUGGUUAUGAUGCUAUUGUUGUAGGUUCUGGAUAUGGUGGCUCUGUUGCUGCCUGUCGAAUGUCCCUGGCAGGAAUAAAGGUCUGUUUAAUAGAGAAAGGCCGAAGAUGGAAAGCUGAGGAUUUCCCAACUGAUGCUAUGAAGAUCAUGUCAGCUGUGAGGAUGGAGAACCAGAAUUUAGGCAUCAGUUUUGGCCCCAAACAUGCUUUGUUCCAGGUAUAUGAGCAAAAUGAUUCUCUAGCUGCAGUGGCAUGUGGGCUGGGUGGUGGGUCACUAGUCAAUGCAGGAGUAAUGAUGACAACCCCAGUUCGUGCUAGAAGGAAUCCUAAAUGGCCAAAGGAGUGGGACAGAGAUUGGGAUAUUUGUGAAGCUUCUGCUGCUGUAAUUCUGAGAGUACAAAGUAUUCCAGUCAAGUUUCCAAUUGCCAAAGUAAUGAGAGAAAUAACUGAAGGAGAGACUGAAGAAAUUUGUGACAGCUUAUUGAAGCUCAGUAUGAAUUUUCAUGUUGAAGAUCCUCCAUCAAAUUCAAUGAAGCUUCAACAGAUGAGUAGUUGCUUAGCCUGUGGAAAUUGCAUUGCUGGGUGUCCUCAUGAUGCCAAAAAUUCUACCGAUAAAAAUUACAUUCUUUCAGUAGUCCAGGCAAAUUUUAUGCUACUUCUAUUAUCAAUUGAUGGAAAGAUACUUUAUUUACGUGUUAAAAUGUUCCAUAGAUGAUUUUUUUUUUUUAAUUCAUAGAUUUCAAGCUAAGAAAUCUAGA
rnacentral:misc_RNA from 1 species